AUUGAACGCUGGCGGCAGGCCUAACACAUGCAAGUCGAGCGAGCGGCGGACGGGUGAGUAAUGUCUGGGAAACUGCCCGAUGGAGGGGGAUAACUACUGGAAACGGUAGCUAAUACCGCAUACCAUCGGAUGUGCCCAGAUGGGAUUCGCUAGUAGGUGGGGUAACGGCUCACCUAGGCGACGAUUCCUAGCUGGUCUGAGAGGAUGACCAGCCACACUGGGACUGCGAAAAGGUCCAGACUCCUACGGGAGGCAGCAGUGGGGAAUAUUGCACAAUGGGCGCAAGCCUGAUGCAGCCAUGCCGAGUGUAUGAAGAAGGCCUUAGGGUUGUAAAGUACUUGCAGCGGGGAGGCGUUACUCGCAGAAGAAGCACCGGCUAACUCCGUGCCAGCAGCCGCGGUAAUAC
rnacentral:rRNA from 1 species